GAUGAAGAACGUAGCGAAAUGCGAUAAGUAAUGUGAAUUGCAGAAUUCAGUGAAUCAUCGAAUCUUUGAACGUACAUUGCGCCCGCCAGUAUUCUGGCGGGCAUGCCUGUCCGAGCGUCAUUUCAACCAUCAAGCCCCCGGGCUUGUGUUGGGGACCUGCGGCUGCCCGCAGGCCCUGAAAACCAGUGGCGGGCUCGCUGUCACACCGAGCGUAGUAGCAAUCACCUCGCUCAGGGCGUGCUGCGGGUUCCGGCCGUUAAACAGUCUUACAAAACCCAAGGUUGACCUCGGAUCAGGUAGGAAGACCCGCUGAACUUAAGCAUAUCAAUAAGCGGAGGA
rnacentral:misc_RNA from 1 species